rnacentral:rRNA from 1 species
GAUGAACGCUGGCGGCGUGCCUAAUACAUGCAAGUCGAGCGAACAGACGAGGAGCUUGCUCCUCUGACGUUAGCGGCGGACGGGUGAGUAACACGUGGAUAACCUACCUAUAAGACUGGGAUAACUUCGGGAAACCGGAGCUAAUACCGGAUAACAUGUUGAACCGCAUGGUUCAACAGUGAAAGACGGUCUUGCUGUCACUUAUAGAUGGAUCCGCGCCGCAUUAGCUAGUUGGUAAGGUAACGGCUUACCAAGGCAACGAUGCGUAGCCGACCUGAGAGGGUGAUCGGCCACACUGGAACUGAGACACGGUCCAGACUCCUACGGGAGGCAGCAGUAGGGAAUCUUCCGCAAUGGGCGAAAGCCUGACGGAGCAACGCCGCGUGAGUGAAGUAGGUCUUCGGAUCGUAAAACUCUGUUAUUAGGGAAGAACAAAUGUGUAAGUAACUAUGCACGUCUUGACGGUACCUAAUCAGAAAGCCACGGCUAACUACGUG